rnacentral:rRNA from 1 species
UACGGGGGGGGCAAGCGUUGUUCGGAAUUACUGGGCGUAAAGGGCUCGUAGGUGGCCAACUAAGUCAGACGUGAAAUCCCUCGGCUUAACCGGGGAACUGCGUCUGAUACUGGAUGGCUUGAGGUUGGGAGAGGGAUGCGGAAUUCCAGGUGUAGCGGUGAAAUGCGUAGAUAUCAGGAGGAACACCGGUGGCGAAGGCGGGUCUCUGGGCAGUAACUGACGCUGAGGAGCGAAAGCGUGGGGAGCGAACAGG